CGCAUCUGUGCAUGCAGCAUAUCAAUAAGCGGAGGAAAAGAAACUAACAAGGAUUCCCCUAGUAACGGCGAGUGAAGCGGGAAGAGCUCAAAUUUGAAAUCUUAAAGGGUUUCCCUUUACGAAUUGUAGUUUAAAGAAGUGUUUUCUGUUGAGGUUUUGGUAAGAGUUCUUUGGAAUAGGACAUCAUAGAGGGUGAGAAUCCCGUAUUUGACCUUUACUUUCAACUUUGUGAUACACUUUCAAAGAGUCGGAUUGUUUGGGAAUGCAGUCCAAAAUGGGUGGUAAAUUUCAUCUAAAGCUAAAUAUUGGCGAGAGACCGAUAGCGAACAAGUACCGUGAGGGAAAGAUGAAAAGAACUUUGAAAAGAGAGUUAAACAGUACGUGAAAUUGUCAAAAGGGAAGCGUUUGACACCAGUGUUGUUUUUCUGAAAAUCAAUUAAAGAACUGUUUAUGCUAAGCUGUUUAGACUUUAUCAGCUAUCUGUUUAGUUUUGAGCUUUUCUUUAAUGCACUUUUCAGUUAACAAGUCAACAUCAAUUUCUUUUGCUGUAAAAAAGCUUGAGGAAGGUGGCUUGAGAUUCGUCUUAAGUGUUUAUAGCCUCUUGCCUAUGCAGUCGGAGAGAUUGAGGUCUGCAGCGUAGAUCCUUCGGGGCUAAAUGCAUUUGUGCUAAGUUAUAGCAUUUUAUAGACAACUUGUUGACUAUGAUUUGUCUUGUAGCUUACUCGCUUAUGUUAUUUUACCUACGCUUAGGAUGUUGAAGACUCUACAGAGAUA
rnacentral:rRNA from 1 species